CUGACUGAUUUCACCCAAAUGUCUGCCCCUUAGGUUUCUAUUGUCCUGAAAGCACAGGUUAUGACUGGAGGCCUUGUCCGGUGGGGACAUACAGUCCUGACUCUGGUUUGAGCAGCCUCUCUGAAUGUAGGGAAUGUGAUGGAGGACACUACUGCUCUCUUCAGAACUCCACGUCUGUCACAGGAAAAUGCUCUGAGGGAUAUUACUGUGCACAUGGAAACAUCUCACCUCAACCUCACAAGCAGUCUUCGGGAGGGGGACCUUGUCCUGCAGGUCACUUUUGCCCGCAAAGCACUGCUCAGCCUCAGCCUUGUCCAGAGGGCACUUUCAGUAACAAAUCCCAACUGGUGAAAAUGGUAAGAAGAAUUUCUCUAUUUAGAUUAAAAGUGCAACAACACGAGCUCACACAAGUGCAAUUGCCAGCAGUCACUUCUGUAAAGGCCAUAGAUACCAUUUUCUUACAGGAAGAGUGUUUGUUAUGUCCUGCUGGCCAUUAUUGUGACAUAUCUGGGCUGACUUCACCCAGUGGAGAAUGCUGGGAAGGUUUUUACUGCAAACAGGGAGCCGUACUCCCCAACAGCCCAAUCAACGAUCACAGAGGAGGACCGUGUCCGACAGGUAAUUGACAGAUCCCCCAAUUCAAGGCAGAUUAAAAACACCCACCUUCCCCUCAAACCGGCCCACCUCAUCCUGUUUUCUGCUCCCGCGUAGGUUAUUUUUGCUCUAGAGGCUCAGGCGCUCCUCAAACCUGUCCAGAAGGAUACAUCAGCAGUAGAGAGAGACAGGCCAGCUGCAGCCUGUGUCCUCAGGGGUAGACACACUUAUACAUAAAAAAAAAAAGUUUAACAUUUAAAGGUGAAGUGUAUAAUUUUUUUUUCAAUGUUAAAAUACUUUCUGCUCUCCCAGGUGGUGCAGAGACAGCUAGAAGUACGACAUUUAUACGUUAAUUCUCCCAAAACUCUAGUGUUUUCAAAACAUCACAACAAACCUGACACAGUAACAUUGACUCUAUAACUUACAAACUUUAGAGACAGACCUGCUGUGAGCUACGAGGUUGUUAAUCGGUGGUACUGUAUAUGCUUUUUUUGAACCCAUCAGCCCGCAUUAUUUCAACAUAUUUAAAUAAAUAGUUGUUUAACAGCA
ensembl:lncRNA